AGGGUAAAGGCUCACAUCAGUCGUUAGACAAUGUGACACAACUUUGUCGGGAUUUAAUAUGGCUAGAAACCGAAGCCGCUGUAAAGACAGAGGCAACAAGUGUAAGAGACAAGCUUCAUCAAGUAAGGGAGAACUAUCGAAAGACUGUAAAUAAACCCGGAACUGUUAAGGAAAGUAAUAAAUUAAUGAUUAACUGGAAUGAGGAUCUGCUGUCCUUCUGCAAAGCCAACAGGAGGAAAUAUCACAUGGAAGAUAGAACAUUGAAGUUGGAAAGGCAGAGACUGGAAGACCAAAUGAUUAUUGCACAAAAUGAAGACGGAGCGGAGAAACUUUUUCUGGAUUUAAUAUGGCUAGAAACCGAAGCCGCUGUAAAGACAGAGGCAACACGUGUAAGAGACAAGCUUCAUCAAGUAAGGGAGAACUAUCGAAAGACUGUAAAUAAUCCCGGAACUGUUAAGAACAGUAAUAAAUCAAUGAUUGACUGGAAUGAGGAUCUGCUGUCCUUCUGCAAAGCCAACAGGAGGAAAUAUCAUAUGGAUGACAGAACACUGAAGUUGGAAAGGCAGAUACUGGAAGAUCAAAGGAUUAUUGCUCAAUAUGAAGACGAAGUGGAGAAACUUCGUAAGGAACUGAAAGAGGCAACUGAAGCAAAAGAGCACGUAUUGAAUAGGCCAAUAGUCUGCUUACAUUUAUAGGACAUUCGUUCUUAAAUCAGAAGAAUUAAACUACUUUUUAUGAUAUUUACUGUUUCCAAUUAAAAAUGAUCAUUCAUAUUGUAUGGAAAUUCUUUAACUUUAUGCGUUAUUAGUGUUUGAAAUUAUUUUUGUCCAAUGUCAUUGCAGUAUUUUAUUUUGGUAAAUCAAAAUUUACUUCCUGUCGUUUAUUAACCCGGUAAGUCACACACUAAACAAACAUAUUUUCAAACACUAAACAGGUCGGUGUUUAUUAGGAAGCAUUUACCAAAUCAAAUUGGUCUGAGGAGGCGGCGAAUGUUUACUAAUAAACACUAACCUAUACAUAAUGAUAAACUAAAGAACGUAACUUUUAACUAUUUAUAUAAACAUAUGAUAUUCUACGAGUCUGAUUUGAGCAAUAAUAUGUUGUACCGGGCAAGGGAAUAUGGAACCGAAACUGUUUUCCCCCAAGUAUAUCAGAAAAAAAAAUAACAAAACUAAAGCCGAUAACUAUUUAAAGGAUGCAUUUAUCCACCGAUAUAUUUAGCGCUUUGUUUUAAUAAACAUGAAUUUUUAAUUGAAUUUAUUAUUUUACUAUUACAGUUUGACAGUCACUAUUUGCAUUCAGUAAGAGGCCAAGCCUUCCAUAAUUAUGAUAUAUAAAUUUAGUAGUCGGCUAGCUUCAUAUCAUGAAAUAUCAACUAAAGUCAUAUAGCUAGAAACCCAGUUUUAACCGAUUUGAGCGACGAGAACCGACCUACAAAACUUGGAGAGAAUUUCAGAGAGCUGUUUGACAACGAAUGGACAGAUGCGUUUGAAUUUUUGACGGAAGAGAACGACGGAACCCACCGCGAAGAUGAAGAGGCAAUUGAUAUACUAUAUGGAAUGUUGAAGCGUUGCAAUGAGUUAUGUUCUGAAGCGCUUCGAGGGCAGCAAACAUCACUUGCGCAACUAGUGUCUAAUCCUGCGUAUUUUAAGAAGAAACCUAUUCUUAGCCUGUGCCGAUCUAAACCUGCAGUGCCACUGACGAAAACCGUAAAUGCUACACAGGCCCAAUUUGCCAAACCUUUACCAGCUGGGAGUCUAAGUACUUGUGAUCAAGUACCUGGUCGCCGAAGACAGCUGGGUAAACAAGGAGAAAGUAAAGAGACAGCUGGUAAUGGAAACAAACAACCUGGUAACCAUAAGUCGGAAAGAUGUCAGACGUCGAACAAAUGACUGACGCAACCAAACCAAACGCUGGUGAGACUGAUGGCCCAGUCAUUAGUGCAGAAGUUGAAGUACCAAUCAAAGUGUUCUCCAAAAGCGUAGCGGCUGAAGUUCUCAAACAUGUUGCAGUUUCGGAUAUUUUACCAGCUAUAAGCAAAGACAAACAAUAUCAAGAUGUAUUGCGAAAUGCCGGGGUCCAGAAAUACCUCGAGAAGUGCUUCCACUUGUGCUGGCUGAUGCAGGCACAAUACCCGCCAAUGUUGAUGGAUUUUGAAACGAAGCCUGGAAUGCCAUUUAACACCAACGUGUUUGAGACGUACGCUAAGAGGGGCCCUAAAACCGUCCGCGUCGUCUGGCCCCCAGUUUACUUACACAAAGAUGGGCCUCUUGUCUGUAAGGGUUAUGCUGAAGGCACAAAACAAUGAUCUUGUCUGUUUUAUACAGAAAUUUAACAAUACUGACAAAAACGGGAAUAUACUAAAGAAUAUAUUUAUCGUAUUUAAUCUAUAAAUCUGAGAACCUCACAUAAUAUUAUUAUAUACUUUAUUAGUCUCCCUUAUGUGUGAGAUAUACUGACUUUGUCAAUUCUGCUUGACUGUCUCAGUGUCCGUUUGUCGAUAUAUCACAAAUAUUUAUCUGUCCUUUUGGUGUGAUUCCUUUUGCGCAACUGUGCAUGUUGAGUAAAUUAAUGAUUUAAUUAAUAAAUCUGCAAUACUUC
rnacentral:misc_RNA from 1 species